rnacentral:rRNA from 1 species
UACGUAGGGGGCAAGCGUUGUCCGGAUUUAUUGGGCGUAAAGAGCUCGUAGGCGGCUCGGUAAGUCGGAUGUGAAACCUCCAGGCUCAACCUGGAGACGCCAUCUGAUACUGCCGUGGCUUGAGUCCGGUAGAGGAGCAGGGAAUUCCUGGUGUAGCGGUGAAAUGCGCAGAUAUCAGGAGGAACACCGAUGGCGAAGGCAGGUCUCUGGGCCACUACUGACGCUGAGAAGCGAAAGCAUGGGGAGCGAACAGG